rnacentral:rRNA from 1 species
AGAGUUUGAUCCUGGCUCAGGAUGAACGCUAGCGGCAGGCCUAAUACAUGCAAGUCGAACGGUAAAUAUCCUUUCGGGGAUAUGAGAGUGGCGCACGGGUGCGUAACGCGUAUGCAACCUACCCAAUGCUGGCGGAUAGCCCGGAGAAAUUCGGAUUAAGCCGUCAUGAGGAGCUUAAGGGGCAUCCUUUAGGUUUCAAAUAUUUAUAGGCGUUGGAUGGGCAUGCGUGCUAUUAGAUAGUUGGCGGGGUAACGGCCCACCAAGUCGACGAUAGCUAGGGGAUCUGAGAGGACGGUCCCCCACACUGGUACUGAGAUACGGCCCAGACUCCUACGGGAGGCAGCAGUGGGGAAUAUUGGGCAAUGGGCGAAAGCCUGACCCAGCAACGCCGCGUGAAGGAAGAAGGCCUUCGGGUUGUAAACUUCUUUUACCAGGGACGAAUAAUGACGGUACCUGGAGAAAAAGCAACGGCUAACUACGUGCCAGCAGCCGCGGUAAUACGUAGGUUGCAAGCGUUGUCCGGAUUUACUGGGUGUAAAGGGCGUGUAGGCGGAGAUGCAAGUUGGGAGUGAAAUCCCGGGGCUCAACCCCGGAACUGCUUUCAAAACUGUAUCCCUUGAGUGUCGGAGAGGCAAGCGGAAUUCCUAGUGUAGCGGUGAAAUGCGUAGAUAUUAGGAGGAACACCAGUGGCGAAGGCGGCUUGCUGGACGAUAACUGAACCUAAGGCGCGAAAGCGUGGGGAACAAAACAGAAUUAAAUACCCUGGUAGUCCACGCUGUAAACGAUGAAUACUAGGUGUGGGAGGACUGACCCCUUCCGUGCCGCAGUUAACACAAUAAGUAUUCCACCUGGGGAGUACGACCGCAAGGUUGAAACUCAAAGGAAUUGACGGGGGCCCGCACAAGCAGUGGAUUAUGUGGUUUAAUUCGACGCAACGCGAAGAACCUUACCAGGGUUUGACAUCCAACUAACGAAGUAGAGAUACAUUAGGUGCCCUUCGGGGAAAGUUGAGACAGGUGGUGCAUGGUUGUCGUCAGCUCGUGUCGUGAGAUGUUGGGUUAAGUCCCGCAACGAGCGCAACCCCUAUUGUUAGUUGCUACGCAAGAGCACUCUAGCGAGACUGCCGUUGACAAAACGGAGGAAGGCGGGGACGACGUCAAAUCAUCAUGCCCCUUAUAUCCUGGGCUACACACGUAAUACAAUGGUGGUUAACAGAGGGAGGCAAUGCCGCGAGGUUGAGCAAAUCCCUAAAAGCCAUCUCAGUUCGGAUUGCAGGCUGCAACUCGCCUGCAUGAAGCUGGAAUUGCUAGUAAUCGCGGAUCAGCAUGCCGCGGUGAAUACGUUCCCGGGCCUUGCACUAACCGCCCGUCA